rnacentral:rRNA from 1 species
CCUACGGGUGGCAGCAGUGGGGAAUAUUGGGCAAUGGGCGCAAGCCUGACCCAGCAAUGCCGCGUGAAGGAAGAAGUCUUUCGGGUUGUAAACUUCUUUGACAGGGGAAGAGCAGAAGACGGUACCCUGAAAACAAGCCACGGCUAACUACGUGCCAGCAGCCGCGGUAAUACGUAGGUGGCAAGCGUUGUCCGGAUUUACUGGGUGUAAAGGGCGUGUAGCCGGGAAGGCAAGUCAGAUGUGAAAUCUGGAGGCUCAACCUCCAAAUUGCAUUUGAAACUGUUUGUCUUGAGUGCUGGAGAGGCGGACGGAAUUCCAUGUGUAGCGGUGAAAUGCGUAGAUAUAAGGAGGAACACCAGUGGCGAAGGCGGUCUGCUGGACUGCAACUGACGGUGAGGCUCGAAAGCGUGGGUAGCAAACAGGAUUAGAUACCCGGGUAGUC